ACAGCAGUCGCCGCGGGAAUACGUAGGUGGCAAGCGUUGUCCGGAAUUAUUGGGCGUAAAGGGCUCGCAGGCGGUUUCUUAAGUCUGAUGUGAAAGCCCCCGGCUCAACCGGGGAGGGUCAUUGGAAACUGGGAAACUUGAGUGCAGAAGAGGAGAGUGGAAUUCCACGUGUAGCGGUGAAAUGCGUAGAGAUGUGGAGGAACACCAGUGGCGAAGGCGACUCUCUGGUCUGUAACUGACGCUGAGGAGCGAAAGCGUGGGGAGCGAACAGGAUUAGAUACCCCGGUAGUCCCUGUCUCUUAUAC
rnacentral:rRNA from 1 species